UCUGUCCGCACUCGAUUCAUGAACUCUCCACGCCUUCUCCAGCUGCGGCAGUCGGCCAGCGCCAAGACGGCAGCACCAGCGUCGACCGCCUUAGCUGCAGCCCCAGUCUCUGACGCCGUGUGUAAGGUGGCUGCGGCGAAUGCAGCACGUUAUCACGGUCCAGCCGCGUCAUCCUUGAUGUCCUUUCCGCCGCGUACGACCCCCUCGGUAGAGCACAUGUGCAUCGUCACCGCUUCUUCAGCGCACACGCCCGGCAAGGCAGUGCCGGCGUCAACGCAGAGGUUUGACGGCGGUAACACGGCGGCUGUAUUUCAGGCCAAGCUCCAACGCGCUCUGUGGCUUGACCAGCUCACCGCAAUCGUCCACGAUGAGGCCCGUGCACGGGCAAGGAUGCGCUGCACCGAGGCUGAGGAGCGCGACGAUCUUUGGUGGCAGCAUCAGAGGGAACGUCAGCGUCAGCAGCACAUCGAGGACAAGGUGCUCCGGCUGGAGGCGUUGCAUGAGGCUCUGGCGGCGCCAGUAUGGAACGUCCUGCCCCACCGCUGGGCAGAUCUCGUGGAGCGCGAAGAGGCAAGUGACAGACGCGCCGUCGAGGCGGCAGCACAGGACGGCCUCCAAAUGCUCUACGCCGCCCAGCACACCUGGCAGCUACAGGAGGCCGUGCGUGAGCUAGAGUGGCAACAACGGGACGCCGAGGCGGUGCAGCGCGCCGCCAAGCACGUGCGCGCGCUGGAGCUGAAGCUGGCGGCGCGUUCGUACAGAGCAGUGCCUGUCUUCAAGCCUGCUGUCGACGAUCUUUUCAGCAUUGCCGAAGGAAUUCGCGCGCCGGCGUCUGCACCGCCUGCGCCCAAGGUGCUGCCGUCGCCCUCGCUGCCUGCUGACCACGAGCCACCUUGCGAGGCCAAAAUACGCGAAAUGUACGACCGCCAGGCCCUCGUUUACGACGAGGCCAAAGAGCGCCUCCUGCUGGACUGGUGGCAGGGGGCGGCGCAGCUCCGCUACGUCGAGUUGCCCAGUGCAUGGCAGUCUUUUGCUCUGUGGAGCUACUAUGUGCGCUCGCCCGUGUGCAUGCGGGCGCUGGUGACGGUGCAGCAGUGGUGGCGCAUGCAGCGCGUCGCGCCGUGGUCCCGCCACCGCCGGACCGCCCUGAAAAGCAGUCUCGCGAAGUUGCGCAGACGCAACUACGUGGAACGGUGCAGGCAGCAUCUGCAUAGCCUACAGCGCACCCUUUCACGGGAGAAGGACGGUGACACGAGCGCUGCCGAUGACGUCAGCGCUGCGCUGGUGGCGCUGGUGGCCGCUGCCACGAGUUUUCGCCGGUACAGAACACAGAUGGACCUGUACACCUAUACGGUUGUGCAGGAGGCCCGUGCGGCGCUAGCAAGUCGGCCCAUCCAAAAUGCGGCGGUGGCGGCUAUGAUGCAGGCAUCGCUGCGGCCUAUAUGUGCGUGCAACCGAUAUCCGCUGCCCUAUGACAGCUGGCGCCACCGUCGCUGGGCGCUGUACUCGGAAGCGCACCGACUGGCCGUUGCGGCAGUGGAGCGUGCAGAAACAUCGUACCGGCAGUGCGUCGAGGCUAAAGAAGCGGAAUACCGUCAUCACGCUGCUGUGUUUCGCGCCAUUUUGCAUCGUGGUCCGCUGGCGGUGUUGAAGCUGCAAGCUGGGCAAGUGGCGCUCGCGCAGGAGGAGCGCAGGUCACAGCUACGCAUCGCUCACCAAGAGACGUAUGAGUACCAUGUCCUGCGCGCUACGGUCGCGGCGGCGCUCCCUUCCCCCUCCCAGGCGGAUUCGCCCCUGAACCGUUGCGAAGCGGUCAACAGGGAGGUCAAACGUGAGGAGCAGACGAUGGCAGCAGCGAUGCCCACCUCCGUAGCAGCGCACUCGCUCGAGGGUCACGGCGCUACUGAGUCAAGCGACACUGCCGCCGCGCCUUCCUCUACAGCGCAAGGUGCGUGGGCGCAAGUGCAUAGAUGCACCCAGCUGGCACACGAAGUGUUGGCAUCGACGCAAGAGCAGUCUUCUCAGGCGCACCCGGAGCGAAGCGGCGCAUCAACGGACACAGAAACGGCAGCAGCCCUUCCAGAGGAUGCCGCGUCUCUCUACUGCACGGCUUUUGACAAAGCAGCUGCCGCAGUGUAUCACGACCAGUACACUGCUGUGCGAGAGCGCCAUGUGGCGCGCAACGCAGAGGCACUGGAGCAGAUGCGCGAGUCGUUCAAGGCGGGCCUGCGUGAGCGCGCCAUCAUCAUAGCGGAGGAAGCGCAGGAGCUGGAGCACAUCUGCCACUGUGACACUUCCGCCCGGCACGUUAGCUGCUUCCAACUCGAGCGAAGCGAGUCAGACAGACGAGCGGCCCUUCAGCGCGCGCAGAGGAGGGUAACGGCGGACCUUUGCGAGGCACUCUCCGACAGCCUUCAUGCUUCCCAAUGGGCAGCGGAGGCGAGGGAAAGGGACGAAGAGGCGCACCUCGCCGCUGCACGCGCACGGCUACACCUCUCGAUGCCGUUGCCAUCACUCUCUCCAGCGGAGCGCCUUUUCUCGCGUGAGGCGGUGUGCCGCACUCGUCUCGUGUGCGACUGCGCUGCUGCGCUAGCCGACGUACUGGUACAGGGUUCUCGCUCUUACCAUGAACGGAAGUAUCAGGACUGGGCCGCGCUCUGCAUCAGGGAUGGCGCUCGUCUCGACAGCGCUGCCUCCUCGAAUCUACCUCUGGGGCAGAUGUGCAUCUUGAAGGCGAACGAGUGGGACGGCCGCCGAUGCAUCUGGCGAGAGGCGCAGGCCGGUGCAAGGACGCUGCUGGUGGACGGGCACGCGCUCUAUGGCGCCAGCACCGCGUGGUCCGACUACCUCUUCGGGCACCUGAAGCUGACGAGUGAGGCCUCCUAUAUGGAUGCGCAGCUGCGUGAGUACCUGCUGAUGCGCGUCGCAAACGUGAAGGUGAAGGUGAGCGAGCUCAUCCAGAUGGAGACGAUGGCGCGCGGCCGAGUCGAGUACGCCGAAGCCAUCACGCGCGACCUCCGCUUCCACCUGCAGCGUCUGCGGCUGGAGUAGCAGGCUGCCCACCCACCCCCAGUUCCCCUGCGCAUGAGUGCUCGUACGGUUGCACAUCCACAUGGCAGCGAUGUAAUGUGCCCCUUCGGCGGCCCCCUCCCCCUCCUCGCACUUUCCGUCGCACAUGCGCCAUUAUGCUUCUCAGUUGCUUGGUGUCUCUUGUAUGGAACACUUUGGAUGGUAUGUUGUCUUGCUCUUGCAUCGGCUCGCACGAUCCCCCCUCCACCCUCCCUCUGUCUGAAGAUUGGAAGGACGCGCGCGCACACAUGUAUGUGCAUGUGCCGUGAAGAUGGGGAGGAGGUGGUGGGAGAGGAAGGGCGCCGCACAUGUACAGUUCACGGGAUAGGACGUAUCUCGCCGCAAUACGCACGCACAUACACACACAGACCACACCAACGAGGAUACGAGCGGGGGCACGGCAAC
rnacentral:misc_RNA from 1 species